rnacentral:rRNA from 1 species
AGAGUUUGAUCAUGGCUCAGAACGUACGCUGGCGGCACGCCUAACACAUGCAAGUCGAACGCAGUAGCAAUACUGAGUGGCAAACGGGUGAGUAUAAUGUGGGAAUCUGCCUUUUGGUUUGGAAUAACACGGGGAAACUUGUGCUAAUACCGAAUAAGCCUUUACAGGGAAAGUUUUAACGCCGAAAGAUGAGCCCGCACUUGAUUAGCUAGUUGGUAAGGUAAAAGCUUACCAAGGCAAUGAUCAAUAGCUGUUCUUAGAGGAAGACCAGCCACAUUGGGACUGAGACACGGCCCAGACUCCUACGGGAGGCAGCAGUGGGGAAUCUUGCACAAUGGGGGAAACCCUGAUGCAGCGAUGCCGCGUGAGUGAAGAAGGCCCUUGGGUUGUAAAACUCUUUCGUCGGGGAAGAAAAUGACUGUACCCGAAUAAGAAGGUCCGGCUAACUUCGUGCCAGCCGCCGCGGU